AGCGAACGCUGGCGGCAGGCUUAACACAUGCAAGUCGAACGGAUCCUUCGGGAUUAGUGGCGGACGGGUGAGUAACACGUGGGAACGUGCCUUUUGGUUCGGAACAACACAGGGAAACUUGUGCUAAUACCGGAUGUGCCCUUCGGGGAAGGAUUUAUCGCCAUUAGAGCGGCCCGCGUCUGAUUAGCUUGUUGGUGAGGUAAAGGCUCACCAAGGCUACGAUCAGUAGCUGGUCUGAGAGGAUGAUCAGCCACACUGGGACUGAGACACGGCCCAGACUCCUACGGGAGGCAGCAGUGGGGAAGUCUUGCGCAAUGGGGGAAACCCUGACGCAGCCAUGCCGCGUGAAUGAUGAAGGUCUUAGGAUU
rnacentral:rRNA from 1 species